rnacentral:rRNA from 2 species
ACCUUUUGUAUAAUGGGUCAGCGAGUUACUUUCAGUGGCGAGGUUAACUGAAUAAGGGAGCCGUAGAGAAAUCGAGUCUGAAUAGGGCGAUAGUCGCUGGGAGUAGACCCGAAACCGGGCGAUCUAGCCAUGUGCAGGAUGAAGGUUGGGUAACACCAACUGGAGGUCCGAACCGGGUAAUGUUGAAAAAUUAUCGGAUGACGUGUGGCUAGGAGUGAAAGGCUAAUCAAGCCCGGAGAUAGCUGGUUCUCCCCGAAAGCUAUUUAGGUAGCGCCUCGUGAAUGAUUACUGGGGGUAGAGCACUGUUUCGGCUAGGGGGCUGUCAUGGCUUACCAAACCGAUGCAAACUCCGAAUACCGGCUAAUUGGAUCACGGGAGACACACGGCGGGUGCUAACGUCCGUCGUGGAGAGGGAAACAACCCAGACCGCCAGCUAAGGUCCCCAAGUACUAGUUAAGUGGGAAACGAUGUGGGAAGGCAUAGACAGCCAGGAGGUUGGCUUAGAAGCAGCCACCCUUUAAAGAAAGCGUAAUAGCUCACUGGUCGAGUCGGCCUGCGCGGAAGAUGUAACGGGGCUAAAACUAGUCACCGAAGCUGCGGAUGUGCGCGAAGGCGCACGUGGUAGGGGAGCGUUCUGUAGGCUGAUGAAGGUGCAUUGAGAAGUGUGCUGGAGGUAUCAGAAGUGCGAAUGCUGACAUGAGUAACGAUAAUGUGGGUGAAAAGCCCACACGCCGGAAGUCCCAGGUUUCCUGCACGACGUUAAUCGGAGCAGGGUGAGUCGGCCCCUAAGGCGAGGCUGAAGAGCGUAGUCGAUGGGAACCAGGUUAAUAUUCCUGGACUUUUUAUAAGUGGUGAAGUGGGGACGAAGAAGGCUAGGUGAGCCAGGCGUUGGUUGUCCUGGUACUUGCAUGUAGGGGGGAAGACUUGGCAAAUCCGGUUUUCCAUAACUCUGAGGUGCGAAGUGGUUCUGACCUUUUGGUACAGAGAAGUCAUUGAUGCCCGGCUUCCAGGAAAAGCUGCUAGCCAUAACUUAUAGAGAACCGUACCGCAAACCGACACAGGUGGACAGGUAGAGAAUACUAAGGCGCUUGAGAGAACUCGGGUGAAGGAACUAGGCAAAAUGGUACCGUAACUUCGGGAGAAGGUACGCCCUUUUGGGUGAGGGCAUUUACUGUCUGAGCUUAAGAGGGCCGCAGAGACCAGGUGGCUGCGACUGUUUAUUAAAAACACAGCACUCUGCAAAUUCGUAAGAAGACGUAUAGGGUGUGACGCCUGCCCGGUGCCGGAAGGUUAAUUGAUGGGGUUAUCUUCGGAGAAGCUCUUGAUCGAAGCCCCGGUAAACGGCGGCCGUAACUAUAACGGUCCUAAGGUAGCGAAAUUCCUUGUCGGGUAAGUUCCGACCUGCACGAAUGGCGUAACGAUGGCCACACUGUCUCCACCCGAGACUCAGUGAAAUUGAAAUCGCUGUGAAGAUGCAGUGUACCCGCGGCUAGACGGAAAGACCCCGUGAACCUUUACUAUAGUUUUGCACUGGACUUUGAUGAUGACUGUGUAGGAUAGGUGGGAGGCUGUGAAGUGAGGACGCUAGUUCUCAUGGAGCCGCCCUUGAAAUACCACCCUGUUGUUAUUGAGGUUCUAACUUGGUCCAGUAAUCCUGGAUGAGGACAGUGUAUGAUGGGUAGUUUGACUGGGGCGGUCUCCUCCCAAAGAGUAACGGAGGAGCACAAAGGUACCCUCGGUACGGUCGGACAUCGUACCAAGAGUGUAAAGGCAAAAGGGUGCUUGACUGCGAGAGUGACGGCUCGAGCAGGAACGAAAGUUGGUCUUAGUGAUCCGGUGGUUCUGAAUGGAAGGGCCAUCGCUCAACGGAUAAAAGGUACUCCGGGGAUAACAGGCUGAUACCGCCCAAGAGUUCAUAUCGACGGCGGUGUUUGGCACCUCGAUGUCGGCUCAUCACAUCCUGGGGCUGAAGCAGGUCCCAAGGGUAUGGCUGUUCGCCAUUUAAAGUGGUACGCGAGCUGGGUUUAGAACGUCGUGAGACAGUUCGGUCCCUAUCUGCCGUGGGCGUAGGAAAAUUGAGAGGAGCUGCUCCUAGUACGAGAGGACCGGAGUGGACGAACCUCUGGUGCACCGGUUGUCACGCCAGUGGCAUGGCCGGGUAGCUAAGUUCGGACGGGAUAACCGCUGAAAGCAUCUAAGCGGGAAGCCUCCCUCAAGAUGAGUUUUCCCAUGAAGCCCGUUGAAGACUACGACGUUGAUAGGCAAGGUGUGGAAGCGCAGUAAUGCGUGAAGCUAACUUGUACUAAUUGGCUGAUUGUCUUGACCA